ensembl:ncRNA lncRNA:CR44110 long non-coding RNA:CR44110
GAUCUAAAAUCGAAUUUUUCCUGAGUGCAUGGUCAGUUGCCAAUGUGAGUCCUUGGGCCAUGGACACAAGGAUCUUUGACACAAGUCUGCUGGCCAGAGCUCUAGCCUCUGUGCACUCGAAGAGAUUUAGUGCCAAUCAUAAGGGCAUGGCUUUCAUUGAUUUACGCUAAUGCAUUUUUAAAUGCAGGCGCUCUUUUGUGGCGAAUUCCGGCUUCCACAACAAGGUGUAUUUUAUGGAGUGCAACCGCUAAGGACUCAUCCACGAAUUCCAGCAUGCGGAGUGAAUGAAUGAUGUGAGUUAAUCGGAAUGAGGAGUACAAGUGGAAAUCGAUUGGGAAAUGGCAUGUGUAUGCAUAGAAUCAGAAUCAGUAUGCAUGGAAAUGGACCAAGCUGAGCAAAAAAAAAUGUGAGAAGAAAGAAUAGAAGUGGGUUUAAAUACAAAAGAAGGAAUUUACGAAUGGCGUGUUCAGAAUGGAAAACGAUUCACUUAAUUAUGUCGAGGAACUAUAAGAAAGAGACAGCACCUUUCAUGUGUAACUAUAUUAACAAGCGAUUUAGCCAGUAAAUAUGAAAAAUGGUUGAUGAUUGAUUGAUAUUGAUUUUGGUUGAUCAAUACAAAACC